CGGGGCGCGGCGGGGCGGCCGGGCCCGAGCGCUGCGCUCCGGCAGGGCGGAGGUGGCAGGUUUGGAGGCUGUCCUGGACACAUUAAAUGUCAAGAAUUCCCUGGAGCCACCACAUACCAGAAGCCACCACAUGCUUAAAGGAUUCAUGAGGCUGCUCUGUCUUUAAGUGUACAGAGUCGAAUUGCUCAGUAAUGCUGGGUACUGUUUGGGAACACAGUAACACAGGAGCAGAUCCAAGGUGUGUUGCACACAGACUUCCCUCUGACAACCAAGCAGGUUCCUUCAUUAUUUUGGAGGGAAAUACAGUCAACAGAUUGAAGAUCAAAAAGAGUCAAAAACGAGAUGCGAAAUACCAGCCCAGUUUGAACUGAACAAGUGCCAUUUGAUCUUCUCUGCAGAGGAAGCAGUCUAGCAAUACACAUACAGCUGUGCCUACUGUUUGGAACAUACUGGGAGGUGUUUGAUCACUUCUGUUGUCUACUUAACCAUCAACUGUUAGAUUUGUUUUCCCUGAUGUGAUGGGGCAGGGGGAGGGGGAGGUCAGUGUCACCCAAGCUGCCAGAGAUUGACAGAGAUGUUUCCCAUCUGCUGACUGUAAUUGGUUUCCUCUGUUCUAAGCCAGAGGCACAACUCUCCUACCCUCCUUCUCCUUCCUUAUAUUUCCAACAAACAUCCCAUUAUGGUCCUGUGUGCUGCUCUUUUUGGUACUGUAAAACAGAUGUACUGGCCCGAAAAUGGAGAAGCAGCAGAGGCACAGGCUGCCCCAGAGUUUCAGACACAGCAGAACACAGUAGGCUCUGAACUAGUCUUCAAGGGCUGUGCAGUGAUGGUACCCAAUCCCUAUCUCCAAGCUUUUGGUCCAAGUGAUACCAUUGUUAGGGCUGUACAGGAGACCCUUAUCUGCAUUAGACAUGACCCCACCACAGCUGCAAUGACAGGACUAGAUGAGCUCCAGCCAUGUCUUCCAGCCUCUGCUGUUCCGUGAGUCUGUAUCCCAAAAGAAAAGCCAGAACUGGUGGUGUUUUCUCAAUAUCCUUGAAGAGACCCAGCUUUGGUAAGAGGUUCCAAUAACCAUGUUUAUAGAACCAAUUAAACAAAAACUAAUUGCAGAAUUCAACAGCCCAGGAGUUUUAACAGGCUUUCUUAUUUAACAAUAUAAGCAUUUAAUUUUUCUGCUUGGCAGCUUUGUACAAACAGGUGGGGAGGAGAGAUCUGGGCUGGCUUAACUUGUGUUUUUUGACACAGCCAAAUGUCAAUACUCAGAAGUGUGUCAUGCAAAUCAAAGCCUCAGAUCUGAAUGGCUCAGUCUUAAGGAAGUUUGCACAGAGAUACAGAUUUUACAGAUGGCUUCUAUCUUUUCAAUGAUCUGGCAAAGGCCUCGGAGCUGAACUACAGAGUAGUCUGGAGACGCAUGAUGCAGACUGAAUUAAUCUGAGAAUUUAUGGAUGAGGAAAGAAAAUGGUGUUGCUCUCCAAUUAAAAAAAAACAGUCUUUCAUUACACUGAAGGCUGAUGUUGUCCUAGUAGCCAAUUGCUCUUACAAUGAAGUAUGCGUUAAGAUUUCAGCCAAUGCAGA